CGGAACGGGUGGAGUAACGCGUGAAUAACCUGACUCAAAGAAGGGGGAGUAACAACGGGAAACUGUUGCUAAUACCGCAUGAGACCACAACACCGCAUGAUGAAGGGGUCAAAGAUUUAUCGCUUUGAGAGGGGUUCGCGUCCCAUUAGGUAGUUGGAGGGGUAACGGCCCACCAAGCCAACGAUGGGUAGCCGAGCUGAGAGGCUGAUCGGCCACACUGGAACUGAGACACGGUCCAG
rnacentral:rRNA from 1 species